UCCUUAGAUGUUCUGGGCUGCACACGUGCUACACUGGCAGGUUCAGCGAGCUUCAUGCCCUGAUCUGAAAUGAAUGGGAAAUCUUUUCAAAACCUGCCGUGCUUGGGAUAGAUGUUUGCAAUUAUUCAUCUUCAACGAGGAUUGCCUUGUAAGCGCACGUCAUCAGCGUGCAUUGAAUACGACCCUGUAUUCUGUACACACCGCCCGUCGCUCCUACCGAUUGAAGUUUUCGGUGAGUUGACAGGAGGAUUUUUUUGAAACUGGUUCGCCAGUGGAUUUUAGAUCCAAAUGCCAACGAAUCGAUGGCUUUAGAGGAAGGAGAAGUCGUAACA
rnacentral:rRNA from 1 species